rnacentral:rRNA from 1 species
UACGAAGGGGGCUAGCGUUGCUCGGAAUCACUGGGCGUAAAGCGCACGUAGGCGGCUUGUUAAGUCAGGGUGAAAUCCUGGAGCUCAACUCCAGAACUGCCUUUGAUACUGGCGAGCUUGAGUUCGGGAGAGGUGAGUGGAACUGCGAGUGUAGAGGUGAAAUUCGUAGAUAUUCGCAAGAACACCAGUGGCGAAGGCGGCUCACUGGCCCGAUACUGACGCUGAGGCAC